UGGGCGAGAAAAAUGUGAGUUUGCCUCAAGUUUUUAUUAGGGGCAAGCAUGUGGGAGGAGCCGAGGUCAUCAAACAGCUCUUUGAAGCUGGAGAAUUGGUCAAGAUUCUCGAGGGGUUCCCGGUUCGGGAACCCGGGUUUGUCUGUGAGGGUUGUGGGGAUGUAAGGUUUGUUCCUUGUAUGACUUGCAGUGGGAGCAGGAAGGUGUUUGAUGAAGAUGAAGAAGUCUUGAAGAGGUGCUUAGACUGCAAUGAGA
rnacentral:misc_RNA from 1 species